rnacentral:lncRNA from 1 species
GUAUUUUGAGAUGCGAGGGACUCAAAAUUAGCUUUCCCGUGGCACAAGAUGUGCACACAAAAUCAGAAGAUUGAGGAAAUUUUGACUCAAGCAAAUUAUGACCAAUGGAAUUGCUAGUAAUUUUUCUCAUCAUCCCAAUUCCGGAAUGGCCCAGGCGAUCAUGCCAGGUUUGGAAUGCAUCAACAUUCUGAAAAAUUACCUUGUAUGCAACAUGUUCCACGGGUUUGAGGUACGUAUAGUACAAACCAGACGAUAGAGAAGGAAUCUUCUCAUGUACCUUUUUGUCAUAUCCGUGAUUUUUAGUAAAGAGUAAAUACUCCUCUUUGUUGUCUUCAUGGGUUUC